CAUCUUCAUCAUUAGAGGGGCUUGACACAUUUUUAACAUGAGGUCUAGGUUAAUUGGGGCGUAUUGGUCAAUUGGGAUAUAGGGAACACAAGAAAGAAACAAACAUGAAAAUUACCCAAUCUUGAUGUCAUGGGGAGGUAGUGACAAUAAAUAACAAUAUUGGGCUCAUUGAAUCUGGUAAUUGAAAUCAGUACAAUAUAAAUCUUUUAACGAGGAUCCAUUGGACCAAAAUUCUAGUGCCAACAACCGUAGUAAUCCAAAUCCAUUAGUGUAUAUUUAAGUUGUUGUAGUUAAAAAUAUCGUAGUUGGAUAUUGAGUUGUGAAUAUUGGUCUGCCUAAUUGGUGUGCACCUACUCUUCCAUCGCUUUUUUCAAUAGUGCACUCUUGGCCUUAACUAGAUAGGCCACAAUUUCGACAUUGUUACUUUGAAUAAAUUGGAGUGCUUAAAGCAAGAUUAUGCUUUGAAUACAUUACCAUGGAAUAACAUGAUAGGAGCCUAGUCCUAUUGUGUUGGCAUUUGGGACCAGAGUAAUGACUAAUAGGGAUUGUUGGGGGCUUCAUAUUUCAUUGUCAAAGGUGAAAUUCUUAGAUUUAUGAAAAAAGAACCAUUGCAAAAUAAUUUGCCAAGGAUUUUUUUAUUAGUCAAUAAUGAAAAUUGGGGGAUUGAAGACAAUAAGAUAUCAUCCUAGUCUCAACAACAAAUGAUGUUGAUCAGGGAUAGGUGGAUUUUUCUCUAAGGACUUCGCCAACACCUUCUGAGAAAUUAGAGUGUUUGGGUUUUGGGGGGAGUAUGGUUGCAAGGUUGAAACUUAAAUGGAUUAAUGGAAGGGCACCACUAAGAGUGGAGUGUAUGAAUUAAUUUGACUCGACACUGGAAAACUUACUAGGUCCAACCACAGUAAGGAUUGAAUAUAGAUUGAGAUCUCUCUCUUGAUUCUAUGGGUGGUGGUGCAUGGCCAUUCUUGGUUGGUGGAGUGAUAUUUUUGGUUAAUUCUAAUAAUGAUUGAGACCUCAACCUGCUAACUAGCUAUGUGGAGGUUCCCCUUCAUGACCAACAUAUUAGAGGGGAUAUGCCCAUUUAAGGCAUGGAAUUUUGAGGAAAUAAUAUGUUUGUGAUGCCCUUAUAUGUUUUGGGUCACAUGCACACUACACUAAUGGAAUCAAUGAUUUUAUGCAUCCCUAAAUAGACCCAUGAAGUUAGAAAAUGCCCCAAAGGGACAAAUGAGUUAACAUGGAAAUUAAGGACUAGAUACCAAAUGAGAAUUAACACCUAAGGAAAUCACCCUAAUGAUAGACAUCCUAGUGAGGUCCCACAUUUAGGUUAGGGUGAGAGAGUCUCUAGAAUCAUGAUCCAUCACAUUAGAGCAAUAAUUGAAAGGAAUCCUAACAUCAUUGGAUGGGUGUAGCAACCAUAAGAUAAUAUAAUACAUAAAUAUGCAUAUAUAUUGAGAGUAGCAACUAUAUAAACAAUAAUAGUUAAUCUUUAUUAUAUAAUGGUAAUCCAAUAAUAUCUAACCUUAUAAAAAAGGAGUCAAUGUCCUUUUAUACAAAUAUAUAGACCUAAAUGUAGUUGAAAACUUAUAAUUGUCUUUAAUUAGUUGAUUAAUUGGAUUAGUUUGUUGACCAACCAUAUUUUUAAUUAAACUAAUCAUAAAUUUAAAGGUAAACUAUAUUUGGUUGAAAAUAUCAAGACAAGUUAUUGUUGUUUUAGAUUUUUUCUAAGGAUUAACACAAAAGAUCAUUAAAUGAUUGUUUUUAGUUGGAGAUGAGGUGGCAUGUUGCACAAGGUCUACACUUUAUUAGUCAUUAUUUUUGUGACAAUGUGUUUUCAAAUUAUCUCAAUACAUUAUGUUGGACCUUGGAAAUAACACAUUUUACAAUGCCAUUUAGUCAUUUUUCAUUUACUUUACCCUUUCAUCCUCAUUCCCUUCAUUGCUCAUAUUUUCACAUUUGUCCAUUUCUACCCUAUAUGAUAUUCAUGUGGCAUACUUACACUAAAAUAGUUGAUUUACCAUGCUUUGAUGAUUACUUAGUGUUGAUUAAGGUUGGUUGUCAUUGAUGUCAACCCUUGAAGAAAGCCCCGUAG
rnacentral:ncRNA from 1 species